AUGCGGUGCUGGGAACUUCCUGAAAAGUGAGAGUUCUACUGGCAUAUUCGAGAGGACAUUCAUCUUAUUGUCUGGAUCAAUGGAUGGCGAUCUGGUGACGCUGCUAUCUGGGGAAGGUGCGGAUCAGCAUUCCAUGUCGAGCGAUAACGUGUCCACACCUACAGUGCUUUGAUGCCUCGCUGUAUUUGCAAAUGAAUGAGAAGAAGCCAACAUGGAUAUGUCCAGUGUGUGACCGGCCAGCCACCUUCUCGUCGUUGGUGAUUGAUGGGUCACCACCUCUAAGGAAACGUGAAGACGUUGGGGCGCCAAUUGAUGACAUGUAAUGGGCACGACCCUACUGAAUAUGACAUUCCCCAGGGGCGUGUCAUGUACUGUUUUGUUAUAUCACAGCUUCUUUAUCUUUAGGUUGUCGAUACAUAUUUCUUCAAUAUUCAAUUCCAGCUUACACGUAACUUAAACAUUUAUGUAUGCAACAUCUAGUCACUGUGCGCAAUGUACGUGUUUUUUGUGCUAUGUGCCUAAAUAAAAA